GGGCCCGUAGUUCAGUGGUAGAAUGCCUCCAUGGCAUGGAGGAGGUCGCUGGUUCAAAUCCAGUCGGGUCCA
rnacentral:tRNA from 1 species